rnacentral:tRNA from 1 species
GCCGCGUUGGCUCAAUGGUAGAGCGUCGCCCUCCUACCAGGCGAAGGCUGCGAGUUCGAGUCUCGUGCGUGGUA